AAGUUCUCAACCACAUCAAGGUGUGGCUUGGACAGUGGGGGUUUUUGCAGGCUUUUGAAGUCGGCUCCCCUGAAAUGCAUUAGUGGUGUAUCUGCUACUACAGGUGUGAUAAUUAUCUACGCCCUCGGUACGAACAGAUCGCAUCGCUUCAAAAAACCCACAUUUGAUGA
rnacentral:misc_RNA from 1 species